GUUUGCCCGUCGCGGCACAUUUGAGUGCAUGAUUGUGUUUGCCCCUUGUUGAGUGAUGGGAACGGGCUUGUGUGUUUGUGUUACAGUGGCACAGUAUAAUACACAGGAAGUUUGGGGAGCACCCUCAACCACAGCGCCUGACGAGAGAAGCCAUGCGGAAUUACCUGAAGGAACGAGGAGACCAAACUGUGCUCAUCCUACACGCUAAAGUUGCACAGAAAUCAUACGGCAAUGAAA